GCGCAGCAGUCGCGAAACCUCCGCAAUACACGAAAGUGUGACGGGGCCAUCCCGAGUGCCGUCCGCUGAGGACGGCUUUUCCCCAGUGUACACAGCUGGGGGAAUAAGGAGAGGGCAAGCCUGGUGUCAGCCGCCGCGGUAAUACCAGCUCUCCGAGUGGUGGGGACGCUUAUUGGGCCAAAGCAUCCGUAGCCGGCUGGGCAAGUCCUCCGUUAAAUCCAACGAUUCAAUCGUUGGGCUGCGGGGGAUACUGUCCAGCUUGGGGGGCGGGAGAGGCCGACGGUAUUCCCGGGGUAGGGGUGAAAUCCUAUAAUCCCCGGGAGGACCACCAGUGGCGAAGGCGUGUCGGCUAGAACGCGCCCGACGGUGA
rnacentral:rRNA from 1 species